UACGUAGGGGGCAAGCGUUGUCCGGAAUUAUUGGGCGUAAAGCGCGCGCAGGCGGUUUUUUAAGUCUGGUGUCUAAGGCUGGGGCUCAACCCCGGUUCGCACCGGAAACUGGAAGACUGGAGUGCAGGAGAGGGAAGCGGAAUUCCACGUGUAGCGGUGAAAUGCUUAGAUAUGACAUAGAACACCCAUUGCGAAGGCAGCUUACUACACGAUCAUUGACGCUGAGGCACGAAAGCGUGGGGAGCAAACAGG
rnacentral:rRNA from 1 species